rnacentral:rRNA from 1 species
UUCGGGGUACACGAGCGGCGAACGGGUGAGUAACACGUGGGUGAUCUGCCUCGUACUUCGGGAUAAGCCUGGGAAACUGGGUCUAAUACCGGAUAUGACCACGGGAUGCAUGUCUUGUGGUGGAAAGAUUUAUCGGUGCGAGAUGGGCCCGCGGCCUAUCAGCUUGUUGGUGGGGUAAUGGCCUACCAAGGCGACGACGGGUAGCCGACCUGAGAGGGUGACCGGCCACACUGGGACUGAGACACGGCCCAGACUCCUACGGGAGGCAGCAGUGGGGAAUAUUGCACAAUGGGCGGAAGCCUGAUGCAGCGACGCCGCGUGAGGGAUGACGGCCUUCGGGUUGUAAACCUCUUUCGACAGGGACGAAGCGUGAGUGACGGUACCUGUAGAAGAAGCACCGGCCAACUACGUGCCAGCAGCCGCGGUAAUACGUAGGGUGCGAGCGUUGUCCGGAAUUACUGGGCGUAAAGAGCUUGUAGGCGGUUCGUCGCGUCGAUCGUGAAAACCUACCGCUCAACGGUGGGCUUGCGGUCGAUACGGGCGGACUAGAGUACUUCAGGGGAGACUGGAAUUCCUGGUGUAGCGGUGAAAUGCGCAGAUAUCAGGAGGAACACCGGUGGCGAAGGCGGGUCUCUGGGAAGUAACUGACGCUGAGAAGCGAAAGCGUGGGUAGCG